GGACUACCGGGGUAUCUAAUCCUGUUUGCUCCCCACGCUUUCGCACCUCAGCGUCAGUACCGGACCAGUGAGCCGCCUUCGCCACUGGUGUUCUUCCUAAUAUCUACGAAUUUCACCUCUACACUAGGAAUUCCACUCACCUCUUCCGGACUCGAGAUUUGCUGUAUCAAAGGCAGUUCCGAGGUUGAGCCCCGGGAUUUCACCCCUGACUGACAAAUCCGCCUACGUGCGCUUUACGCCCAGUAAUUCCGAACAACGCUAGCCCCCUUCGUAUUACCGCGGCUGCUGGCAC
rnacentral:rRNA from 1 species